GGGCCCAUAGCUUAGCGGUAGAGCAGCCGGCUCAUAACCGGUCGGUCCCAGGUUCAAAUCCUGGUGGGCCCACCA
rnacentral:tRNA from 3 species